UAAAACUAGCAGAAUACAUCAGAGUGAAGAGAGAGAGAGAGCGUGAGAAUGGUUAAAAUAGGAGGCAUCUUUGUCUGUCUCUUGAUUGCGGCCAUGGACAUCGGAGAUGGGAUUCUCGAUCGGCAUCGAAGCUGAAUUUGAACUAAACAAGCGGGUACUACUACAGGUCAAGAGAAUCAGGAUGGAGAUCGAGCUGCGUAGAGUAGCUGCAAUUGUGUCGAUCUAAAUUACUUUGUGAGGUGUAUUAUGCUCAUUUAGAGCUUUACAAUAUUGCUUGUGAGAGUGAAUUGUAAUAAUGAACUCGAGGUUUCGAGAUUUGGAGUUUGUGUACCGUGUGGUGAGGUUAUAUUGAGAAAAAAAUUCAGAACG